AACGAACGCUGGCGGCGUGUUUAAGACAUGCAAGUCGCACGGGAUAAGACAUGUAGUAAUACUUGUUUUAUUUAGUGGCGCACGGGUGAGUAACACGUGAAUUACAUGCCCUAUAGUGGGGAAUAGCCCAGGGAAACUUGGAUUAAUACCCCAUGGUAUCGAAAGAUUAAAGGUGGCCGCAAGGCUGUCGCUAUAGGAUUGGUUCGCGCCCUAUCAGCUUGUUGUGGAGGUAACGGCUCACCAAGGCAAUGACGGGUACCUGGUCUGAGAGGACGAUCAGGCACACUGGAACUGAGACACGGUCCAGACACCUACGGGUGGCAGCAGUCGAGAAUAAUUCACAAUGGGGGCAACCCUGAUGGUGCAACGCCGCGUGGAGGAUGACGGUCUUCGGAUUGUAAACUCCUGUCAUCUGGGAGAAAGACCUGACGGUAAAUAGCCGGCAGGGUUGAUAGUACCAGAAGAGGAAGGGACGGCUAACUUCGUGCCAGCAGCCGCGGUAA
rnacentral:rRNA from 1 species